ensembl:lncRNA
UCACAGGCAAAGGAACACCCAAUUGUUUAGCAGCAGGAGUAUGUCCAAAGAAACUGGGAGAGGAGUUGUUGCCUCAUGCCUCCCAAGCACCAGACAUGUACCAGCAGGAUGUUGGCUCUUCACUCCUGGCUGACGUCUGACGUUAUGGUCCCUCUCUAUCUCCCUACACAUCCACCAACCACUGGAACACAUCUCCAAAGUUCUGCUGGGCCAGCUCAGCUUCCCCUCAGAAGAAGUUCCACCAGAUGAAGGAGCCUUUUGAGAGGCAGCUGGCAUCGUGAUUGGACUGUACUUUGGUCUGUUCCAAUCCAGCUUCAGCUCCAGAGACGGCAGGUGGGACGAGUCAACGGAGGCCUGGAAGACAAAGGCAUGCAGCUGAGUACAAUCCAGAAAACAACAGAGGAGGAGUGCAGAGCCAGAAAAAACAGAACCAAAGAACUACAGACUCUUCACAACCUGCUCAAACUCUUGGUACAGGACCUCACCACACGGGUCAAGAAGGUUUCCGUCUCAUUUCUACUCUGA